AGUUGAAACAAUGGUAUAAAGCCCCCUUUGGCUCAGCUAUAGCUCUGGAGUAUUCCAUUGGGCCUGCAGCUCUGAAAAUUCCAAGCCAACUCAAACUGCCCACUCACAGAGCCAAGAUUAGAAACAGGCCUCAAAUGGCAGUUAGAAGAAACUUAAAUGGCCAUGUAGUCUAUUCCACACUUGAAAAAUAAUACUUUAUAUAACAUACCCAACAAGUUGUCACCUAGACUCUUCCUGAAGACUCCUUUGAAGUGAGGGGCCACUUACUACUUUCCAAGGCAUCCCAUUCCAUUUCUGACAUCUGUAAUGGCUACAAAGUUUUUCUGAACCUCAAAUUUGCCUAUUUGUGUUUCCUAUCCAAUGCUCCUAGUUAUGCAUUUUGGAGCCAAAGAAGGCUCCUUCAAUUGCUCUUAUGUGGCCAGGACAACAAAGCUUUUACCAUGCAAGUUUCCCUCCUUUGGAAGUUCUACAGAUCAUCCUUCUUAUACUGGAGCACUCAGAACUGAAUACAAUACUACAGAUGUGAUCUGA
rnacentral:lncRNA from 1 species